UUAAGCGACUAAGCGUACACGGUGGAUGCCUAGGCAGUCAGAGGCGAUGAAGGGCGUGCUAAUCUGCGAAAAGCGUCGGUAAGCUGAUAUGAAGCGUUACAACCGACGAUACCCGAAUGGGGAAACCCAGUGCAAUUCGUUGCACUAUUGCAUGGUGAAUACAUAGCCAUGCAAGGCGAACCGGGGGAACUGAAACAUCUAAGUACCCCGAGGAAAAGAAAUCAACCGAGAUUCCCCCAGUAGCGGCGAGCGAACGGGGAGGAGCCCAGAGUCUGAAUCAGUUUGUGUGUUAGUGGAAGCGUCUGGAAAGUCGCACGGUACAGGGUGAUAGUCCCGUACACAAAAAUACACUUGCUGUGAACUCGAUGAGUAGGGCGGGACACGUGACAUCCUGUCUGAAUAUGGGGGGACCAUCCUCCAAGGCUAAAUACUCCUGACUGACCGAUAGUGAACCAGUACCGUGAGGGAAAGGCGAAAAGAACCCCGGCGAGGGGAGUGAAAUAGAACCUGAAACCGUGUACGUACAAGCAGUGGGAGCACCUUCGUGGUGUGACUGCGUACCUUUUGUAUAAUGGGUCAGCGACUUAUAUUUUGUAGCAAGGUUAACCGAAUAGGGGAGCCGUAGGGAAACCGAGUCUUAACUGGGCGUCUAGUUGCAAGGUAUAGACCCGAAACCCGGUGAUCUAGCCAUGGGCAGGUUGAAGGUUGGGUAACACUAACUGGAGGACCGAACCGACUAAUGUUGAAAAAUUAGCGGAUGACUUGUGGCUGGGGGUGAAAGGCCAAUCAAACCGGGAGAUAGCUGGUUCUCCCCGAAAGCUAUUUAGGUAGCGCCUCGUGAACUCAUCUUCGGGGGUAGAGCACUGUUUCGGCUAGGGGGUCAUCCCGACUUACCAAACCGAUGCAAACUCCGAAUACCGAAGAAUGUUAUCACGGGAGACACACGGCGGGUGCUAACGUCCGUCGUGAAGAGGGAAACAACCCAGACCGCCAGCUAAGGUCCCAAAGUCAUGGUUAAGUGGGAAACGAUGUGGGAAGGCACAGACAGCCAGGAUGUUGUCUUAGAAGCAGCCAUCAUUUAAAGAAAGCGUAAUAGCUCACUGGUCGAGUCGGCCUGCGCGGAAGAUGUAACGGGGCUAAACCAUGCACCGAAGCUGCGGCAGCGACACUUAGGUGUUGUUGGGUAGGGGAGCGUUCUGUAAGCCGUUGAAGGUGGACUGUGAGGUCUGCUGGAGGUAUCAGAAGUGCGAAUGCUGACAUAAGUAACGAUAAUGCGGGUGAAAAGCCCGCACGCCGGAAGACCAAGGGUUCCUGUCCAACGUUAAUCGGGGCAGGGUGAGUCGACCCCUAAGGCGAGGCUGAAAAGCGUAGUCGAUGGGAAACAGGUUAAUAUUCCUGUACUCGGUGUUACUGCGAAGGGGGGACGGAGAAGGCUAGGCUAGCCGGGCGACGGUUGUCCCGGUUUAAGCAUGUAGGCGGAGUGACCUGGUAAAUCCGGUUGCUUAUCAACGCUGAGGUGUGAUGACGAUGCACUACGGUGCAGAAGUAGUUGAUGCCAAGCUUCCAGGAAAAGCCUCUAAGCAUCAGGUAACAGUGAAUCGUACCCCAAACCGACACAGGUGGUCAGGUAGAGAAUACUCAGGCGCUUGAGAGAACUCGGGUGAAGGAACUAGGCAAAAUGGUGCCGUAACUUCGGGAGAAGGCACGCUGGCAUUAGGUAAAGAGACUUGCUCUCGGCGCCGAAGCCAGUCGCAGAUACCAGCUGGCUGCAACUGUUUAAUAAAAACACAGCACUGUGCAAACACGAAAGUGGACGUAUACGGUGUGACGCCUGCCCGGUGCUGGAAGGUUAAUUGAUGGGGUCAGCCGCAAGGCGAAGCUCUUGAUCGAAGCCCCAGUAAACGGCGGCCGUAACUAUAACGGUCCUAAGGUAGCGAAAUUCCUUGUCGGGUAAGUUCCGACCUGCACGAAUGGCGUAAUGAUGGCCAGGCUGUCUCCACCCGAGACUCAGUGAAAUUGAACUCGCUGUGAAGAUGCAGUGUACCCGCGGCAAGACGGAAAGACCCCGUGAACCUUUACUAUAGCUUGACACUGAACAUUGAGCCUUGAUGUGUAGGAUAGGUGGGAGGCAUCGAAGCGUGGACGCCAGUCUGCGUGGAGCCAACCUUGAAAUACCACCCUUUAAUGUUUGAUGUUCUAACUCGGCCCCGUAAUCCGGGGUGAGGACAGUGUCUGGUGGGUAGUUUGACUGGGGCGGUCUCCUCCCAAAGAGUAACGGAGGAGCACGAAGGUUAGCUAAUCACGGUCGGACAUCGUGAGGUUAGUGCAAAGGCAUAAGCUAGCUUGACUGCGAGAGUGACGGCUCGAGCAGGUACGAAAGUAGGUCUUAGUGAUCCGGUGGUUCUGAAUGGAAGGGCCAUCGCUCAACGGAUAAAAGGUACUCCGGGGAUAACAGGCUGAUACCGCCCAAGAGUUCAUAUCGACGGCGGUGUUUGGCACCUCGAUGUCGGCUCAUCACAUCCUGGGGCUGAAGUAGGUCCCAAGGGUAUGGCUGUUCGCCAUUUAAAGUGGUACGCGAGCUGGGUUUAGAACGUCGUGAGACAGUUCGGUCCCUAUCUGCCGUGGGCGUUGGAAGAUUGAGAGGGGCUGCUCCUAGUACGAGAGGACCGGAGUGGACGAAUCACUGGUGUUCGGGUUGUCAUGCCAAUGGCAUUGCCCGGUAGCUAAAUUCGGAAGAGAUAACCGCUGAAAGCAUCUAAGCGGGAAACUUGCCUCGAGAUGAGUCUUCCCUGGGGCUUAAAGCCCCCUGAAGGAACGUUAAAGACUAUGACGUUGAUAGGCUGGGUGUGUAAGUGCAGCGAUGCAUUGAGCUAACCAGUACUAAUGAUCCGUGAGGCUUAACCUU
rnacentral:rRNA from 1 species